CGUAGGUGGCAAGCGUUGUCCGGAAUUAUUGGGCGUAAAGCGCGUGCAGGCGGCUUCUUAAGUCCAUCUUAAAAGUGCGGGGCUUAACCCCGUGAUGGGAUGGAAACUGAGAGGCUGGAGUAUCGGAGAGGAAAGUGGAAUUCCUAGUGUAGCGGUGAAAUGCGUAGAGAUUAGGAAGAACACCGGUGGCGAAGGCGACUUUCUGGACGACAACUGACGCUGAGGCGCGAAAGCGUGGGGAGCAA
rnacentral:rRNA from 1 species